AUAUUGUUGUAGAUAACAUGCAAAAUACCAAGCUGGACGACAAAUUUUAAUUUAAUACUCGGGAGAGGUAAAUUUACCCCAAAACGACUGGUCUGUAUAAAGGGGACUUGUUGUUUAUUUAAAAGUUUGCCACGCUAACAGAGGAGAAAUGCAGGCGAUGUGGGACUUCCUCUUUGCGUCUGAAGUCCCAAAAAAACAAGUUGACCUUCAACACCUGUUUGUCUUCUGACUCUUCUCCACCCCCUUCAAUUCCCACAAUAACAAAUCACACCUUCACCUUCAUCCUAGACCCCUUCAUUCAUUUCCAUCUACUUCUUCUUUAUCCUUCAAAUCAAAACAGAGUUUUCUUUAUUUUUCUUCAAAGCCACUCUUGUUUUCAUCAAAACUAGUCACGAGAGCUUCUUCUGAAGAAAAUGCUACUGAAGUCACAAAUUCUGUCUUGCACUGACUCUGCAGGUGGUAAUGUUUCUGGUUCUCAUAUCUGCGGGUGUCCACAGCGGCCUGGCCAGCUUCCGUGACACCUGCGAGAAACUCAUCGGAGAUCGAGCUUACCGUGUUCGUUUUGCAGGAACAUCACUACCUUUGUACACAUUUUUUCUUAUAAGCUGCAGAAAAACCUUAUUAUCCUCAAUGACUUGUGCCCAUAUCCAUUCUCUUAUACCAUGAUAUGAUUGUUUUAUUUGUUUUAGAAGUUGCUUCAAAUUUUAAACUGAUAUGUCAUCAAUGUUUUGCUUUAUGAUGCAAGUAUAUUUUAUUAAUCACGGAUAUUGAUUAAAAUUUUAAACUAAUAUGUUCAUCAAUUAACUUGUGUGGCUUUCUAACUUCAUCUCCUUCUUGUUGUUGUAUCCUUCAACCUUUAAUGUUUUAGAGGUUGCAGCAGUUGACAAGCUUAUAUUACAUCUCUAUGAAACUGAAAUUAUGAGAACAUCCAGACAUCCAAUGGUUUCAAACAAAUCCAAACAAUUGCAUAUAUCAAAAAUAGAACAUGUCGUUGGGCAGGUAAUAUGAUGUCUUGCUCAUAUCAUAUGGAUUGGAAAUUAUGUGGCUGUUGCUGUUUCAUUUGCCUCAAUUUCACACAAUUCAUUUGAUGUUUGGAAUGGAGAUGGGAAACUGGCUAAAAAGAUAUGGAGAAGAUUUUGAGAUUGUUAAGGGUAGAACAAACUGGUGGUGGCUCAUGGUGGUUUGUGGUAGUAGAUUUAGAUCCGGACUUGGUAGUUGGGUUCGGAUCUAGAUCCGAAUCUUUGGUAGCUGCUGAGAAAGAUAUGGCAUGGUUUCUCUUUGAGAUUAUCUUCUAUCUCUUUCUUUACGUGGCUUGUUACACAAAACUCCAUUAAUUUUCAUUUUGAAUUUUAUGGGUUAAGAUAUGGCAUGGUUAUCCACUUCUGUGAUGAUAUUUUUGAAGCCGUGAGGACUCUUUGCUUGUAGUAUUUUUAUUGUGAGUCAUUAUAGUCAUCACUCUUCAAAAUUGUUGCUUAAGUGGCAUUAUGCAUGCUAACCGGCUGCCAUGGAAAUGCCUUAUGUGUUUCAAGAAGCUUCUGGAGGUCAACGAAAAAACAGAUCUGGUGUCUAGAGUUCCUUGGAACUAGUUAGUCAGAUUUGGUUUGUCGGAUAAUUGUGGUGGUUCAGCUUUUAAUGGAUUUUAAGAGUGGUUCAUGGAUUGGAUUGCGGUGCUUUGGGGUGAGCUUUUGGGUGGUAGUUUAGGUUGUGUGGUGGUGGUGAUGUGAGUAGGUUGCGGGUAGUGUUGUUCAAAUCCGCCAUUUUUGCUCCACCAUUGAUUCUCUUUUACUACGGCGACGAAAACAUUCUCCUUGUCACAGGCGACCGCCUUUUUAUGACCUGGGUUGUGGUUCCGCUUCAAACCGGCGUCGCUGCCCGUGUUUUGUUGUUGGAUUUCGUCUUCCUCUAAAUUUAUGUUUGUGUUGUUGCUUGUUUCUUGGUGAGGAUAUUUUUGUGGCGUAGUGAUGCAGUGACGGUGGUGGUGAUGCGCGGUGGUGAUGCAGUGGUGGUGGAGGUUAUUCAAUUGUGGUGGGGUGGUGAUGUGUGGUGGGGGUGAUGAUGUGUGGUGGUGGUUGGUGUUUUAAGUGAGGAGGUGGGUGCUUGUUAGGGUGAUUUCCUUUAGAAGCAACCUCUGUUACACGGGUUCAUGUUCGUCGUCAAUAGCUCUUGGUUGUCCUUUUUGCGUGGUUUAGGUUUGCGUCUUGCGGGGAUGACGUUUAAUAAUAUUUGCCGAUUAAAAAAAACAAAAAAAAAAAAGUGCUAUCCCUUUUGCAGCAAUACUUGUUCAUUCGAUUACCAUAUUUUACAAUCACUGCAAUAACAUUAGGGGCACACUUUGCACAUCCACUGCAAACUAAGUCUUUGAUUUUAUUUUACCACUAAAAUUAAAAAUAAUAUUUGUAUGAAAUUAAUAGAUAUGUUCUAUCGAUGUAAA